rnacentral:rRNA from 1 species
GUGCCAGCCGCCGCGGUAAUACGGAGGAUGCAAGCGUUAUCCGGAAUGAUUGGGCGUAAAGCGUCCGCAGGUGGCUUUGUAAGUCUGCUGUUAAAGAGUGAGGCUCAACCUCAUAAAAGCAGUGGAAACUACAUAGCUUGAGUACGUUCGGGGCAGAGGGAAUUCCUGGUGUAGCGGUGAAAUGCGUAGAGAUCAGGAAGAACACCGGUGGCGAAAGCGCUCUGCUAGGCCGUAACUGACACUGAGGGACGAAAGCUAGGGGAGCGAAUGGGAUUAGAUACCCCAGUAGUCCUAGCCGUAAACGAUGGGUACUAGGCGUUGUCUGUAUCGACCCGGACAGUGCCGUAGCUAACGCGUUAAGUAUCCCGCCUGGGGAGUACGCAGGCAACUGUGAAACUCAAAGGAAUUGACGGGGGCCCGCACAAGCGGUGGAGUAUGUGGUUUAAUUCGAUGCAACGCGAAGAACCUUACCAGGACUUGACAUGUCGCGAAUCUUGAUGAAAGUCAGGAGUGCCUUCGGGAGCGCGAACACAGGUGGUGCAUGGCUGUCGUCAGCUCGUGUCGUGAGAUGUUGGGUUAAGUCCCGCAACGAGCGCAACCCUCGUUCUUAGUUGCCAGCAUUAAGUUGGGCACUCUAGAGAGACUGCCGGUGACAAACCGGAGGAAGGUGGGGAUGACGUCAAGUCAGCAUGCCCCUUACGUUCUGGGCUACACACGUACUACAAUGCAACGGACAAAGGGCAGCUACACAGCGAUGUGAUGCUAAUCUCAUAAACCGUUGCUCAGUUCAGAUCGCAGGCUGCAACUCGCCUGCGUGAAGUCGGAAUCGCUAGUAAUUGCAGGUCAGCAUACUGCAGUGAAUUCGUUCCCGGGCCUUGUACACACCGCCCGUCACACCAUGGAAGCUGGCAACGCCCGAAGUCAUUACCCCAACCGCUUGCGGAGGGGGAUGCCUAAGGCAGUGCUGGUGACUGGGGUGAAGUCGUAACAAGGUAACC